GACGAACGCUGGCGGCGUGCUUAACACAUGCAAGUCGAACGGAAAGGCCCUGCUUUUGUGGGGUGCUCGAGUGGCGAACGGGUGAGUAACACGUGAGUAACCUGCCCUUGACUUUGGGAUAACUUCAGGAAACUGGGGCUAAUACCGGAUAGGAGCUCCUGCUGCAUGGUGGGGGUUGGAAAGUUUCGGCGGUUGGGGAUGGACUCGCGGCUUAUCAGCUUGUUGGUGGGGUAGUGGCUUACCAAGGCUUUGACGGGUAGCCGGCCUGAGAGGGUGACCGGCCACAUUGCGCCUGCGAUACGGCCCAGACUCGUACGGGAGGCAACGGUGGGGAAUAUUACGCAGUGAGCGGAAGCCUGAUACAGAGACGCCGCGUGCGGGAUGACGGCCUUCGGGUUAUAAACCGCUUUCGCCUGUGACGAAGCGUGAGUGACGGUAAUGGAUAAAGAAGCACCGGCUAACUACGUG
rnacentral:rRNA from 1 species